rnacentral:rRNA from 1 species
UGGGGAAUAUUGCACAAUGGGCGGAAGCCUGAUGCAGCGACGCCGCGUGGGGGAUGAAGGCCUUCGGGUUGUAAACUCCUUUCGACAGGGACGAAGCUUUUGUGACGGUACCUGUAUAAGAAGCACCGGCUAACUACGUGCCAGCAGCCGCGGUAAUACGUAGGGUGCGAGCGUUGUCCGGAAUUACUGGGCGUAAAGAGCUCGUAGGUGGUUUGUCGCGUCGUCUGUGAAAUUCCGGGGCUUAACUCCGGGCGUGCAGGCGAUACGGGCUGACUUGAGUGCUGUAGGGGAGACUGGAAUUCCUGGUGUAGCGGUGAAAUGCGCAGAUAUCAGGAGGAACACCGAUGGCGAAGGCAGGUCUCUGGGCAGUAACUGACGCUGAGGAGCGAAAGCAUGGGUAGCGAACAGGAUUAGAUACCCUGGUAGCCCAUGCCGUAAACGGUGGGCGCUAGGUGUAGGGGGCUUCCACGUCUUCUGUGCCGUAGCUAACGCAUUAAGCGCCCCGCCUGGGGAGUACGGCCGCAAGGCUA